GUCAGCCUACUCGUUAGCUGCACACCCAGGAAUUUGAUGCUGAUAACCAUCUCCACAGCAUUUCUCCCUGUUGCUGUUUGGACUGGACCCCCUCUGAAGUUUCUGCUAUCAACACAGUCUCGUUGAUCAUUUCAUCAAACGCGUGUAACUCUUUCUUGGGCAUUAAACAACAAAGAUGAGGCAAUGAUGAGACUGAAUGAUUAUUAGAGAUCAGGCACUAAUAUUAUUCUCCCCCCACCAUCUUGGGCCUCAGUGCAGAUUUGGCAGCCUGGAGAAACACAAAAUAUUGUUAGUUACCAUCAUGAAAGGAGGAUAGUUAGCUCUAUAACUCUUUCAUGAGGAACUUUAACUAUAUAGUAUUUUAAAUCAUGAUGUUCAUUUAGCCUUUGGAACAUGUACAGUUAAAAUUGUUUUUAAAUUUUGCCCUGAACUUUCCUCAAAACUUUACUAAUACAAUAGAUACUAAAGUUUAAGGAAGGAAGUAGGAGAUCCAGUGACACCAUUCAGCUAUGACUGCAACUCGUUUAUAAUUAAGCUUUAUGUUCCUGAAGAUUUGGGGCUUGAGUAAUUUCACCAGAAAUGCUGACAGAAUCGCAAUGAUGAAAGGGCUCCAAUUUGCAGAAAUAAAGAACAAGAGCUCUACUCGUAUGAAACAUAUAAUAAGGCUUCUGUAGAAGACACUAUGGCAAAUUGCAUGACUAGUAGGAACGUCUUUAUUCCAAGCAUACUUUGCUUUCAGAAGGUUGCCUCUGCAUUUUUAUUUGUGAUUACACUGGUCAUGUAGCUGGCCACUCCAAAAGCUAUUAUUUGCCAAAUUAGGCCAAUUCAAAGCAAAUGCUUCAUUCUCUACAUUGAAUUUAUUGUGCUAGAGAAAAAGAGAAAUGGCACACUAUUAGCUUCCUAUAUUAAGUUUUAUAGGAUUAUGGAAAUCUUUCCCACUUUAAAACUCCACUUGAACCAUGGCCUCCCACCUCAUAAUCACAAAGUGUUCUGAGAAAAGCUGAUGGAGAUGAGAUCAUCAUCCCCCAAGAUUUUCUUCCACCGCUUUCUUAGAUAAGUAGCAUGAUUAUAACACCCUGCUUCCAAUCCACAUCAUAGAUUCCCAGUAACACCUCUUCCAUUUACAGAUCAGUGUUUCUCAAAUUGUGAGAUCUAUCUUCCUUGGGGACAUGCACGGGAGGGUGGCGUUGUAUAAUGUUACAAUAAAUUCACCUUUUCCAAAACGAGUACCAUGGUGGUGGAGGAGGCACAAAUGCUGCCUUUUUAUUUUUUUAAUGUCUUUAUUAAAAAUAAAGUUUUGUUGCAUUGUG